GUGGGGAAUAUUGGACAAUGGGCGAAAGCCUGAUCCAGCCAUGCCGCGUGUGUGAAGAAGGUCUUCGGAUUGUAAAGCACUUUAAGUUGGGAGGAAGGGCAGUAAGUUAAUACCUUGCUGUUUUGACGUUACCGACAGAAUAAGCACCGGCUAACUUCGUGCCAGCAGCCGCGGUAAUACGAAGAGUGCAAGCGUUAAUCGGAAUUACUGGGCGUAAAGCGCGCGUAGGUGGUUUUGUAAGUUGGAGGUGAAAUCCCCGGGCUCAACCUGGGAACUGCCUCCAAAACUGCAUGACUAGAGUACGGUAGAGGGUAGUGGAAUUUCCUGUGUAGCGGUGAAAUGCGUAGAUAUAGGAAGGAACACCAGUGGCGAAGGCGACUACCUGGACUGAUACUGACACUGAGGUGCGAAAGCGUGGGGAGCAAACAGGAUUAGAUACCCGAGUAGUCC
rnacentral:rRNA from 1 species